rnacentral:rRNA from 2 species
UGAUUGAUGGUGCUUGCACCUGAUUGACGAUGGAUCACCAGCUGAGUGGCGGACGGGUGAGUAACACGUAGGUAACCUGCCCCGGAGCGGGGGAUAACAUUUGGAAACAGAUGCUAAUACCGCAUAACAACAAAAGCCACAUGGCUUUUGUUUGAAAGAUGGCUUUGGCUAUCACUCUGGGAUGGACCUGCGGUGCAUUAGCUAGUUGGUAAGGUAACGGCUUACCAAGGCGAUGAUGCAUAGCCGAGUUGAGAGACUGAUCGGCCACAAUGGAACUGAGACACGGUCCAUACUCCUACGGGAGGCAGCAGUAGGGAAUCUUCCACAAUGGGCGCAAGCCUGAUGGAGCAACACCGCGUGAGUGAAGAAGGGUUUCGGCUCGUAAAGCUCUGUUGUUGGAGAAGAAUGUGCGUGAGAGUAACUGUUCACGCAGUGACGGUAUCCAACCAGAAAGUCACGGCUAACUACGUGCCAGCAGCCGCGGUAAUACGUAGGUGGCAAGCGUUAUCCGGAUUUAUUGGGCGUAAAGCGAGCGCAGGCGGUUGCUUAGGUCUGAUGUGAAAGCCUUCGGCUUAACCGAAGAAGUGCAUCGGAAACCGGGCGACUUGAGUGCAGAAGAGGACAGUGGAACUCCAUGUGUAGCGGUGGAAUGCGUAGAUAUAUGGAAGAACACCAGUGGCGAAGGCGGCUGUCUGGUCUGCAACUGACGCUGAGGCUCGAAAGCAUGGGUAGCGAACAGGAUUAGAUACCCUGGUAGUCCAUGCCGUAAACGAUGAGUGCUAGGUGUUGGAGGGUUUCCGCCCUUCAGUGCCGGAGCUAACGCAUUAAGCACUCCGCCUGGGGAGUACGACCGCAAGGUUGAAACUCAAAGGAAUUGACGGGGGCCCGCACAAGCGGUGGAGCAUGUGGUUUAAUUCGAAGCUACGCGAAGAACCUUACCAGGUCUUGACAUCUUGCGCUAACCUUAGAGAUAAGGCGUUCCCUUCGGGGACGCAAUGACAGGUGGUGCAUGGUCGUCGUCAGCUCGUGUCGUGAGAUGUUGGGUUAAGUCCCGCAACGAGCGCAACCCUUGUUACUAGUUGCCAGCAUUAAGUUGGGCACUCUAGUGAGACUGCCGGUGACAAACCGGAGGAAGGUGGGGACGACGUCAGAUCAUCAUGCCCCUUAUGACCUGGGCUACACACGUGCUACAAUGGACGGUACAACGAGUCGCAAGCUCGCGAGAGUAAGCUAAUCUCUUAAAGCCGUUCUCAGUUCGGACUGUAGGCUGCAACUCGCCUACACGAAGUCGGAAUCGCUAGUAAUCGCGGAUCAGCAUGCCGCGGUGAAUACGUUCCCGGGCCUUGUACACACCGCCCGUCACACCAUGGGAGUUUGUAACGCCCAAAGUCGGUGGCCU